GUAAUGUCUGGGAAACUGCCUGAUGGAGGGGGGAUAACUACUGGAAACGGUAGCUAAUACCGCAUAACGUCGCAAGACCAAAGAGGGGGACCUUCGGGCCUCUUGCCAUCGGAUGUGCCCAGAUGGGAUUAGCUAGUAGGUGGGGUAACGGCUCACCUAGGCGACGAUCCCUAGCUGGUCUGAGAGGAUGACCAGCCACACUGGAACUGAGACACGGUCCAGACUCCUACGGGAGGCAGCAUG
rnacentral:rRNA from 1 species